rnacentral:rRNA from 1 species
CCCUGGUAGUCCACGCUGUAAACGAUGUCGACUAGGAGGUGGGGCCUUUGAGGCGUGGCUUCCGGAGCUAACGCGUUAAGUCGACCGCCUGGGGAGUACGGCCGCAAGGUUAAAACUCAAAUGAAUUGACGGGGGCCCGCACAAGCGGUGGAGCAUGUGGUUUAAUUCGAUGCAACGCGAAGAACCUUACCUGGUCUUGACAUCCUAAGAAUUUUCCAGAGAUGGAUUGGUGCCUUCGGGAACUUUGAUACAGGUGCUGCAUGGCUGUCGUCAGCUCGUGUUGUGAAAUGUUGGGUUAAGUCCCGCAACGAGCGCAACCCUUUUCCUUUGUUGCCAGCGAGUAAUGGCGGGAACUUAAAGGAGACUGCCGGUGAUAAACCGGAGGAAGGUGGGGAUGACGUCAAGUCAUCAUGGCCCUUACGACCAGGGCUACACACGUGCUACAAUGGCGUAUACAAAGGGAAGCGAMCUCGCGAGAGCAAGCGGACCUCAUAAAGUACGUCGUAGUCCGGAUCGGAGUCUGCAACUCGACUCCGUGAAGUCGGAAUCGCUAGUAAUCGCAGAUCAGAAUGCUACGGUGAAUACGUUCCCGGGCCUUGUACACACCGCCCGUCACACCAUGGGAGUGUGUUGCACAAGAAGUAGGUAGCUUAACCUCCGGGAGGGCGCUUACCACUUUGUG